rnacentral:misc_RNA from 1 species
UUUCGUAGGUGAACCUGCGAAGGAUCAUUAAAAAAUGUGUACCAAUUAUUGGUACUAAUUAAUCAUCCUACCCUUUGUGAAUUUGUUGUAUGAAUUUUUUAAUGGGUCUUUCCCUAAGUUGGAUUGUUAGUAAAUACAAAAAGACUUAGGGAAUGACUUUUUAAAAGACUUUUUUUAAUUAAACUUUUUGUAUUCAUUUGUCUAAAAUUUAUUUUUAUAAUAUAAAACAACUUUUGACAAUGGAUCUCUUGGUUCUCGCAACGAUGAAGAACGCAGCAAAAUGCGAUAAGUAGUGUGAAUUGCAGAAUACGUGAAUCAUCGAAUCUUCGAACGCAUAUUGCACUUUUUUAGUUUACUAAAAAAGUAUGUCUGUUUGAGUAUCAGUAAAUAUUCUCACAAACAUAUAUUGUUUGUGGUUAUGAGUGUUUUACAACGAUAAACAAGUUGUUUCACUUUAAAUUCUUUUUAAUUGAAUUUUACCAAUUCAUAAAUUAAAAUUGGAUAAAAUUUCCUUUAACCGAGGAUAACCUAAACAAUUUUAAAUUUUAUGAUUAAUAAACAUUCAUCAAAGGAAUCUAAUUAUACAUAAAUAACUUGAUCUCAAUCAGAUAAGAGUACCGCUGAACUUAAGCAUAUCAAUAAGCGGAGGAAAAGAAACUAACAAGGAUUCCCUUAGUAACGGCGAGUGAAGCGGGAAGAGCUCAAAUUUGAAAUCUCAAGGUUUGACCUUGACGAAUGUAGUUUAUAGAAGUGUUUUCUGUUGGAGUUUUGGUAAAAGUUCUUUGGAAUAGGACAUCAUAGAGGGUGAGAAUCCCGUAUUUGACCAUGACUUUCCAGCUGUGUGAUACACUUUCAAAGAGUCGGAUUGUUGGGAAUGCAGUCCAAAAUGGGUGGUAAAUUUCAUCUAAAGCUAAAUAUUGGCGAGAGACCGAUAGCGAACAAGUACCGUGAGGAAAGAUGAAAAGAACUUGAAAAGAGAGUUAACAGUACGUGAAAUUGUCAAAAGGGAACGUUUGACACCAGUGUUGUUUCUCGAAAAUCAAUUUAAUGAGUUCUUGUUUUUAAGUUAUUGUGACUUUAUCAGCGCAUUUCUUAUUUUACUUGACUCAUUGAAUGCACUUUCGUUUAACAAGUCAACAUCAAUUUCUUUGGUGGUAAAAAGUUUAAAGGAAGGUGGCUUGGACUUCGGUUCAAGUGUUUAUAGCCUUUUUUCUAUGCCAUCGGAGAGAUUGAGGUCCGCAGCGUAGAUCCUCGGGUUAGAUACCUUUGUGCUAAGUUAUAGUUUUUUAUAGACAACUUGUUGACUAUAAUUAACCCUGUAAUUACUCGCUUAGGCUAUUUUACCUACGCUUAGGAUGUU